rnacentral:rRNA from 1 species
GUCUACGGCCAUGCCAUCCUGAACAUGCCUGAUCCCAUCUGAUCUCAGAAGCUAAGCAGGGCCGGGCUUGGUUAGCCCUUGGAUAGGAGACAACCUAGGAAUACCAGGUGCUGUAGGCA